GUCAGACACGACUGAAGCGACUUAGCACGCAGGCGUAGUGCUCAAUGGUAAUGCUCCCUCCCCACCUCCACCGCCGACUCCGGGUUGGAGGGAGGGACACAUGGCAUUGCCUUCUCCACACUGGCCGCUAGGGGGCGCACCACCUCCCUGCCCAAACCAUCAGGGGAGCAGCCACCAUCAUGCCCCAUGGACGCAGGUGGAAACUGCUUUUUAAUGAGACUAAUUUGUUAUCGAAAGAACUUGAAUCAACUUCAAAGUAAGUUAAAUAAGAGAUCAUCUCCUCUAGUUUCAUAAAUCAAGCGGGAUACAAAGAGAGAGGGAAAAAAGGAGAUCAUGGAAGCCAGGCAGCAGAGGGGCUUGGGUGGCCUUGAGUUCCUGCCCCAGGGGAGGGGGCAGGGUUCUGGCGUGGUGUGCUGGAAAGGAAUCUUCUUUUCCUUCUUCCGACUGAAGAGCCUGGUCCAGAAAGCUGUUCCUCCUCCUGCUGCCUCCAUCGUGGGGGAGAGGCUGGGGUCUCCGAGGUGCAGGUUGAUAUUACACGGAGGUUCCAUUAAAAUGUGGAGAAGAUCGCCCCCCAACCCCCUCCCCAGCUGGACAACUCUGAGGCUGGUGAGCAAACAUCCUGGUACCCACGGAGCCCACUGAGUUCACUGCUUUCUAGCUGAUCCCGGAGUUUAAGGGCUCCAGCCCUAGUGUCAUCUUACUCCUCUGGGCCUAUCAGAACCUGACCCUUCAAAGUCCUGGAGCUGAUUCUUGAAACACUGAUUAUUUGUCCCUGUUGAAUCAGCUAUCACACUCCUCAGCUGGCAAAAAUCUCCAACUGGUAUUGGUGAAAUCCACAGUGCACCUUCCAUCAAGUUUCAAAUAGAUCACUUCAAACCCCUCCCAAGAAUUAAUCAAUUUCCUAUCAACCCACUCCAGUAUUCUUGCCUGGGAAGUCCCAUGGACAGAGGAACCUGGCAGGCUACGGUCAAUGGGGUCAUAAAGAGUUGGACAUGACUUAGUGACUAAACAACAACAACAGUAAGUAAAGGAGUUCCUUCAAUGUAUAAAGCCUAUGAGAGAGGAUCUCAAGGCUCAUGGCCUCAUUAUCCCUUGCACUAACUGUGGUGUGGAGAAGACUCUUGAGAGUCCCUUGGACUGCAAGGAGAUCCAACCAGUCCAUCCUAAAGGAGAUCAGUCCUGGGUGUUCAAUGGAAGGACUGAUGUUGCAGCUGAAACUCCAGUACUUCGGCCACCUGAUAUGAAGAGCUAACUCAUUUGAAAAGACCCUGAUGCUGGUAAAGAUUGAGGGCAGGAGAAGAAAGGGACGACAGAGGAUGAGAUGGUUGGAUGGCAUCACCGACUCAAUGGACAUGGGUUUGGGUAGACUCUGGAAGUUGGUGAUAGAUAGGGAGGCCUGGCGUGCUGCGGUUCAUGGGGUCGCAAAGAGCUGGACACGACUGAGUGACUGAACUGAACUGAAUCCCUCUAAUACCCCUGUUUUACCUAUGAGAAAACCCAAGGGAUGACCUCCGAGCAAUAAAAGCACUCUUAUCUUGUGACAGGGUUCCCAGGUGACGCCAGUGGUAAGAAACCUGCCUGCCAAUGCAGGCGACUUAAGAGAUGCAGGUUCGAUCUCUGGGUCGGGAAGAUCCCCUGAAGGAGAGCAUGGCAACCCACUCCAGUAUUCUUGCUGGAGAAUCCCAUGGACAGAGAAGCCUGGUGGGCUGUAAUCCACAGGGUUGCUAAGAGUUGGACACGACUAAAGCGACUUAACAUGCAUCCUCUGACACCCUGUUGUUCCUAAUGCCCACAUGCUACUGACAUCUGUUCCCACUGGAAGCUAAAAUUUUCACUGUAGUUAAUCUAUGCAGUGUAUUUUUCAGUAUUCUACUUGAUAAGGUUAGCCAAUAUCUUUUUGCCUUCACCUGGGACAGACAAUACACUUGUACAGUGAUGCCCCAGGGUUUCACAGCAAGUCCUUACUUUUCUCAAAUCUUGAAAGCUGAUUAGGCUGAUGUAAAGUUUUCUACAGGUUCUACUUUCUUACAAUAUAUAGAUGAUUUGCUCCUAUGCUCUGCUUCUCAGACCUCCUCACAGAAGACAGCAUCUACCUGCUAAGAAUUUGGCCUUAAAGGGACCUAAAAUCUCCAAAGAAAAUUUUGGUUUGCUUAAAUUCAGGUUUGGUAUAUGGGGCACCUGAUCUCAGAACAGGGACUGAGUUCGGACCCAGAUAGGCUUCCUAGCAUCCUGAACUUCCCCAAAUCAAAAACUAAGCACCAGGCUUCCCUCGUGGCUCCGUGGUAAAGAAUCUGCCUGCUACUGCAGGAGACACGGAUUCGAUCCCUGGUCUGGGAUGAUCCCACAAGCCGUGGAGCAACUAAGCCCACGCGCCACAACUACUGAGCCUGUGCUCUGGAGCCUGGGAGCCAGAGUUACUGAUCUCACAUGCCGCAAGCACUGAAGCACUCGCUCCAGAGUGCUCCCCAACAAGAAAAGCCACAACAGUGAGGAGCACGCACACCACAACAAGAGAGCAGUCCCCACUUGCCAAACUCGAGAGAAGCCUGUGCAGCGACAAAGACCCAGCACAGUCAAAAAUGAGAGAAGAAUGAAUGAAUGAAUGAAUGAAUCCACAAAAAGUGGAGCUCACACACUGAGAAAGCAAAACGAAGGCUAAGCGCCAAUUAUGAAAUUGUCUCAGACUAUCUGGCUACUGUUGAAAUGGGACUCCAAAUUUCACUCUUAUGGUCACCCCUAUAUGCUUAUUAAAAACCCAGAAAACUCAACCCCAUUAAUUAAGGAGAGCAAGAUGACACAGACUUUGAAGACCUAAAGAAAAACUUAAUGAGACCACCUGCCCUUGGACAUCCUAAUUACCAGCUUCCCUUUUGCCUCUUUGUAUAUGAGAAGAAAGGGAAUGUCCUCAGAGCACUCACCCCAAAACAUGGGGACCAUCAUCAACCUGUAGGGUAUUAUAGCCAACAGCUGAACCCUAUGGCACAGGGAUCUCUCUUGCCUCAGAGCCUUUCCUGCUACUGCCCUCUGGUUAAGGCCACUGAAGAGAUAAUCAUGGGAUUCCAUUCAACCACCUUUGUACCCCAUGUAUACAGAGAGGUAUACAUGGGGUAUACAAAGGGAUGGAAGCCCUCCUGAAUUCUCAUUCACCCAACGCUUUUCAGUCAGUUGCCUCACCUCGUACGAAAUCCUUUUGCUAACUGCUCCUCACAUAAGCCUUUCACAUUUGCUAACUUCAGCCCUGCUCCUCUUCUCCCCUCCUUCACUACAAAACACCCCAGCACUGCCUGACACUAUCAAAAAGACAGCAUCCAUGAACCAAUACUGGUGGGAAAAUACUAAUAAGACCGUAACAAGUAUUUGCCCUCUUGUCCCAUCUGUCCAAAAUAUAAGCCAGAGAAACCUGUUUGCACUCCUCCCAGACAUCUUGAAUUGCUUAAUGAGCCAUUUGAGGUUUGGCAGAUGGAAUUCAUAUAGCUGUCUCCAUCUCAUGGAUAUAAAUAUGUUUUAGUCAUGGUCUGUAUAUUUUCUCACUGGACUGAAGCCUUCCUUGCAGACAGGCCAUUGCUUCUUCUGUGGCUACAGUUUUGGAAGAGGCAAUCUUUUAGAAAAGAUUAUCCCUACCGUGGGAAACCAUCUUGAACUUUACACUGAUCGUGGAACUUAUUUUACUGGUCAGAUGCUUCAACAAGUCUGUGCUGUUUGUCUGGUUUUAUAAAUUUUUUUUACUGUGCUUACUAUCUUCAAUUCUCAGGGUUAGCCGAAUGUACUCAUCUCACUGUUAAGACCCGAUUGGCAAAAUGUAUAAAGAUCCUCCAAAUACCCUGGCCCAAAGUGUUGCUGUUAGUCCUUCUCAAUCUCAAACCCAUCCCCUUUGGAACGCUCACCUUUUAGUCACAGAUCACCCAAUGAUCCUGGCCCCUGCCUCUUUUGAUAUACAGCUGAUAAAAGAAGAUAAAACUCAAUAUUGUAAAGGCUUAAUUGCUUUAAUUCAAAAUAGCCGUGCAUUAAAAGAGCAAUCUUUUCACAGUGCACUCUCAGGAGAGGAGAACCUUAAGCAUCACACUUUUCAACCUGGAGAUUUCAUCUAUUGGAAAAGACACCUCCAGAAGGACUCUCUUUAAACUCACUGAAAUGGCCCCUAUCAGGCACUGAGAACCUACCCUUGUGCCAACAAACUGCAGGGAUAGAUUCCUGGAUGCACACGAAACAUCUAAAAAAAGCACCAGACCCUGAGACUGGGCUUAUAUACCAUCUGGUGACUUGAAGGUAAGGAUUUCCCAGAACUGAAGCAGACAUCUGAUAAGAUAGCUUUCCCAAGAUGUCUGGACAAGGCCUGCGAGAAGGUUUAGAAUUCACAGAAGUCUCUUUCUUUCAUGUAGACUGUAAAUAAACUCUGGAUUUCUAUCCAAAUUCAUGGUCUCUGAAUUUACAAAUAUUGACAAAACAUUUGGUUCUAAACAGUUUCUUUUGAGAUAACAAACUGUUUAAUUACUUCUUGUUUAUUCCUAUAGUGUGUCUUCAUAAAGACUUAAUUCCUUCAGUUUUAAGUGUGCCCUUGCUGUAGAAAUCCACUCCAGUAGUAUUGCCUGGAAAAUCCCAUGGACAGAGGAGCCUGGUAGGCUACAGUCCAUGGGGUCACAAAGAGUCGGACACGACUGAGCGACUUCACUUCACUUUGCUGUAGUCACUUUUUUUAAGAUACAGACUUUAGAUGGGAAAUGCCUGAGAUGUCUCUCUUCCAUCCCUUCUUGUUACCCAAAUGUGACCACCAUAGCUUUCCAGUCUGCAUUUGUUCCUUCUGAUGUGGGACAUGGAGCCCAGGAAUGGUCCUUCCUGGCACAAAAGGCCAGGGACAAAUGUUCCAAUGUUUCAACAGUUUCAGAAACUGUUUAGAACCAAACGUUUGGUCAAUAUUUGUAAAUUCAGAGACCAUGAGGGACAAAAGGCCACUGAACGCUGGUAACAAACAAAACAAAGCAAAAAACGAGACAAAAAAUCCUGGCUCUUCACUAUUGAUGCUUUUGGAGAAAUAUCUUGAUCAAAAGGGGGAAAUAUGAAAAUUAAUAAGGGGAAACCUCACUAAAAUGCAAUCAGAAGGCCAGAAAGGGGAGCUAUCAUGCAAGCACCAUUCGAGGUCAAUACAGAUCCCAACAGGAUGACAAGUAAUUUGGGUUUCCAGCAGAAAGUGACUCUACUAAGUACCAGCAGGAGAAGGAAAAAUUUCCCCUUGCCUGUUGAAAACUCAGCCAAGGAAAGACAGUCACAAUUCAG
ensembl:lncRNA